rnacentral:rRNA from 1 species
UCAAGGAAGAAAGGGCGUACGGAGAAUGCCUGGGCACAGAGAGGCGAUGAAGGACGCAGCGAACAGCGAAAUGCGGCGGCGAGCGGUAAGCACGCGAUGACCCGCCGAUAUCCGAAUGGGGAAACCCCUCCGCUCAAGAAGCGGAGACCGCAUGACGACCGUCAUGACGGGGCAAUACGCAGGGAACUGAAACAUCUAAGUACCUGCAGGAAGAGAAAGAGAAGUCGAUUCCGUAAGUAGCGGCGAGCGAAAGCGGAGGAGCCCAAACCGGACACAGUCCGGGGUUGUAGGACCGCCGAUAAAGAUGACAUGAAGAGUCAGGAGAAUCCCAUGGGAAGGGGAUCCGAAGAGGGUGAGAGACCCGUAUCCGAAGGCUCGACAUGGAUCGAGGCGGCACCUGAGUACGGCGGGGCACGUGGAAUCCUGCCGGAAUCAUCGGGGACCAUCCCGAAAGGCUAAACACUACUCUGUGACCGAUAGCGAACCAGUACCGUGAGGGAAAGGUGAAAAGAACCCCGGGAGGGGAGUGAAAGAGAACCUGAAACCGCAUGCCCACAAGAAGUCAGAGCCCGUCAAAGGGUGAUGGCGUGCCUUUUGUAGAAUGAGCCGGCGAGUCACGAUCAGCAGGCGAGGUUAAGCAGGAGAUGCGGAGCCGCAGCGAAAGCGAGUCUUAACAGGGCGGAAUAGUCUGAGGUCGUGGACCCGAAACCGGGUGAUCUAGCCAUGAGCAGGUUGAAGUCGGGGUAAGACCCGAUGGAGGACCGAACCGACCCCCGUUGAAACGUUGGCGGAUGACUUGUGGCUAGGGGUGAAAUUCCAAUCGAACCCGGAGAUAGCUGGUUCUCCCCGAAAUAGCUUUAGGGCUAGCGUCGCAGCGAGAGAGCCGUGAAGGUAGAGCACUGAAUAUGCGAUGGCCGCAUCCCGCGGUACUGAGCAUAAUCAAACUCCGAAUGUCACGGUGUCAUCUGCGGCAGUCAGACGGCGAGUGAUAAGGUCCGUCGUCAAGAGGGAAACAGCCCAGACCAUCAGCUAAGGUCCCAAAGUGCAUGCUAAGUGGAAAAGGAAGUGGAGACGUGCAGACAACUAGGAGGUUGGCUCAGAAGCAGCCAUCCUUCAAAGAGUGCGUAACAGCUCACUAGUCGAAUGACUCUGCGCCGAUAAUUUACCGGGGCUAAGCAUGACACCGAAGCUAUGGACAGGAAUGUGGUAGGGGAGCAUUGCAUGCAGCGGAGAAGCAUGACCGAAAGGGCAUGUGGAGCGCAUGGAAGAGAGAAUGCCGGCGUGAGUAGCGGCACGUGGGUGAGAAUCCCACGCACCGAUGGCCCAAGGUCUCCAGAGGAAGGCUCGUCCUCUCUGGGAUAGUCGGGACCUAAGGCGAGGCCGAAAGGCGUAGCCGAUGGACGACGGGUGGAUAUUCCCGUACCCGAUGUGUGGCGAUGGAGUGACGGAGAAGGCUCAGGCAACCAGCUGCUGGAAUAGCUGGGGCAAGCGAGAUACCUGCGCACCAGGGAAAUCCGGUGCGCAUAAGGGGAAGGCGCGAAGCAUACGGAAAGCUUCGGCAAGUACGGAAAAGCUGAGAGCAGGCUUCCAGGAAAAGCUUCUAGCACAACACACAUCGGCCCGUACCGAAAAUGGACACACAUGGGCAAGGAGAGAAUCCUGAGGUGAGCGAGAGAACUAUAGCUAAGGAACUCUGCAAAAUGACCCCGUAACCUAGGGAGAAGGGGUGCUCCAGAAAUGGAGCCGCAGUAAAACGGCCCAAGCGACUGUUUACCAAAAACACAGCUCUCUGCGAAGGCGCAAGCCGAAGUAUAGGGGGUGACGCCUGCCCGGUGCUGGAAGGUCAAGGGGAGCUGUCAGCGCAAGCGAAGCAGCGAGCCGAAGCCCCAGUAAACGGCGGCCGUAACUAUAACGGUCCUAAGGUAGCGAAAUUCCUUGUCGGGCAAGUUCCGACCCGCACGAAAGGCGUAACGAUUUGGGCGCUGUCUCAGCUGUAGACUCGGUGA